rnacentral:rRNA from 1 species
ACUUAAUAGUUACAACUUUCAACAACGGAUCUCUUGGUUCUGGCAUCGAUGAAGAACGCAGCGAAWYGCGAUAAGUAGUGUGAAUUGCAGAAUUCAGUGAAUCAUCGAAUCUUUGAACGCACAUUGCCCCCUUGGUAUUCCAUGGGGCAUGCCUGUUCGAGCGUCAUUUGUACCUUCAAGCUCUGCUUGGUGUUGGGUGUUUGUCUCGCCUCUGCGCGUAGACUCGCCUCAAAACAAUUGGCAGCCGGCGUAUUAUUUCGGAGCGCAGUACAUCUCGCGCUUCGCACUCACAACGACGACGUCCAAAAGUACAUUUUUUCACUCUUGACCUCGGAUCAGGUAGGGAUACCCGCUGAACUUAAGCAUAUCAAUAAGCGGAGG